rnacentral:rRNA from 1 species
AGUGAACGCUGGCGGUAGGCCUAACACAUGCAAGUCGAACGGCAGCACAGGAGAGCUUGCUCUCUGGGUGGCGAGUGGCGGACGGGUGAGGAAUACAUCGGAAUCUACUCUGUCGUGGGGGAUAACGUAGGGAAACUUACGCUAAUACCGCAUACGACCUACGGGUGAAAGCAGGGGACCUUCGGGCCUUGCGCGAUGGAAUGAGCCGAUGUCGGAUUAGCUAGUUGGCGGGGUAAAGGCCCACCAAGGCGACGAUCCGUAGCUGGUCUGAGAGGAUGAUCAGCCACACUGGAACUGAGACACGGUCCAGACUCCUACGGGAGGCGGCAGUGGGGAAUAUUGGACAAUGGGCGCAAGCCUGAACCAGCCAUACCGCGUGGGUGAAGAAGGCCUUCGGGUUGUAAAGCCCUUUUGUUGGGAAAGAAAUCCAGCUGGCUAAUACCCGGUUGGGAUGACGGUACCCAAAGAACAAGCACCGGCUAACUUCGUGCCAGCCGCCGCCGUAA